GGGUAGCUGUGAGGAUGGUAGACCGGUGACAUACACUUCAUUUAUGCUGUAGGUCACGUGUUUUACUAUCCACCAGCACCC
rfam:Mesocricetus auratus contig038439, whole genome shotgun sequence.